GAUGAACGCUGGCGGCGUGCCUAAUACAUGCAAGUCGAGCGAACGGACGAGAAGCUUGCUUCUCUGAUGUUAGCGGCGGACGGGUGAGUAACACGUGGAUAACCUACCUAUAAGACUGGGAUAACUUCGGGAAACCGGAGCUAAUACCGGAUAAUAUUUUGAACCGCAUGGUUCAAAAGUGAAAGACGGUCUUGCUGUCACUUAUAGAUGGAUCCGCGCUGCAUUAGCUAGUUGGUAAGGUAACGGCUUACCAAGGCAACGAUGCAUAGCCGACCUGAGAGGGUGAUCGGCCACACUGGAACUGAGACACGGUCCAGACUCCUACCGGAGGCAGCACUACGGAAUCUUCCGCACUGGGCGAAAGCCUGACUGACCAUCGCCGCGUGAGAGAUGAACGUCUUCUGAUCGUGAAACUCUGUUAUCAGGGAAGAACAUAUGUGUCAGUAACUGUGGACAUCUUGACGGUACCUAAUCAGAGAGCCACGGCUUACUACCUGCCUGCAGCCGCGGAGAUACGUAUGUGGCAAGCGUUAUCCUGAAGUAUUGGGCGUAAGCGCGCGUAGCGGUUUUUUAGUCUGAUGUGAAAGCCCACGGCUCAACCGUGGAGGGUCAUUGGAAACUGGAAAACUUGAGUGCAGAAGAGGAAAGUGGAAUUCCAUGUGUAGCGGUGAAAUGCGCAGAGAUAUGGAGGAACACCAGUGGCGAAGGCGACUUUCUGGUCUGUAACUGACGCUGAUGUGCGAAAGCGUGGGGAUCAAACAGGAUUAGAUACCCUGGUAGUCCACGCCGUAAACGAUGAGUGCUAAGUGUUAGGGGGUUUCCGCCCCUUAGUGCUGCAGCUAACGCAUUAAGCACUCCGCCUGGGGAGUACGACCGCAAGGUUGAAACUCAAAGGAAUUGACGGGGACCCGCACAAGCGGUGGAGCAUGUGGUUUAAUUCGAAGCAACGCGAAGAACCUUACCAAAUCUUGACAUCCUUUGACAACUCUAGAGAUAGAGCCUUCCCCUUCGGGGGACAAAGUGACAGGUGGUGCAUGGUUGUCGUCAGCUCGUGUCGUGAGAUGUUGGGUUAAGUCCCGCAACGAGCGCAACCCUUAAGCUUAGUUGCCAUCAUUAAGUUGGGCACUCUAAGUUGACUGCCGGUGACAAACCGGAGGAAGGUGGGGAUGACGUCAAAUCAUCAUGCCCCUUAUGAUUUGGGCUACACACGUGCUACAAUGGACAAUACAAAGGGCAGCGAAACCGCGAGGUCAAGCAAAUCCCAUAAAGUUGUUCUCAGUUCGGAUUGUAGUCUGCAACUCGACUACAUGAAGCUGGAAUCGCUAGUAAUCGUAGAUCAGCAUGCUACGGUGAAUACGUUCCCGGGUC
rnacentral:rRNA from 1 species